AUUGAACGCUGGCGGCAUGCCUUACACAUGCAAGUCGAACGGUAACAGGUUAAGCUGACGAGUGGCGAACGGGUGAGUAAAGUAUCGGAACGUACCUUUCAGUGGGGGAUAACGUAGCGAAAGUUACGCUAAUACCGCAUAUUCUGUGAGCAGGAAAGCAGGGGAUCUUCGGACCUUGCGCGGAUUGAGCGGCCGAUAUCAGAUUAGCUAGUUGGUGAGGUAAAGGCUCACCAAGGCGACGAUCUGGAGCGGGUCUGAGAGGAUGAUCCGCCACACUGGAACUGAGACACGGUCCAGACUCCUACGGGAGGCAGCAGUGGGGAAUUUUGGACAAUGGGCGCAAGCCUGAUCCAGCCAUGCCGCGUGAGUGGAGAAGGCCUUCGGGUUGUAAAGCUCUUUCGGCCGGGAAGAAAUCGCAUAGGUUAAUACCCUGUGUGGAUGACGGUACCGGAAUAAGAAGCACCGGCUAACUACGUGCCAGCCGCCGCAGUAA
rnacentral:rRNA from 1 species